rnacentral:rRNA from 1 species
UGGGGAAUAUUGCACAAUGGAGGGAACUCUGAUGCAGCGACGCCGCGUGAACGAAGAAGGCUUUCGAGUCGUAAAGUUCUUUUAUAUGGGAAGAUAAUGACGGUACCAUAAGAAGAAGCCCCGGCUAACUACGUGCCAGCAGCCGCGGGAAUACGUAGGGGGCUAGCGUUGUCCGGAAUCACUGGGCGUAAAGGGUUCGCAGGCGGAAAUGCAAGUCAGGUGUAAAAGGCAGUAGCUUAACUACUGUAAGCAUUUGAAACUGCAUAUCUUGAGAAGAGUAGAGGUAAGUGGAAUUUUUAGUGUAGCGGUGAAAUGCGUAGAUUUUAAAAAGAAUACCGGUGGCGAAGGCGACUUACUGGGCUCAUUCUGACGCUGAGGAACGAAAGCGUGGGUAGCAAACAGG